AAUCUCGAAAUCACAAUAUUCAAGAGAAAUUGACAACGAUGGAUGAAGUAAUGAUGUAAUUCUAGAAAACACAAUCAACAAAAAAGAAAUCUAGAUAGGUCGCCAUUUUCCGAGCGCUCUCCUCGCCCUACAUUUUUUUCAAGUAAUUUCAGAUUGUAAGAAAUUUAGGAAUUUCCCUGAAAGCACCCUGAAAGCGAAAUUCCUCUCGACUUCUGAGUAAGUUAAGACGAUCGACAUAGGCUCCCAUAAACAGAUUAAACUGUCUAUUGCUUUUCUUUUUCUUAAAUCAAAUUCAUCGAAAUGCCUGAGACUAAGAUUGUCAGACUUCUUACUGCCAGUGGGGGCAUUCCUCAAUCAAUGAAAACAUUUAGAACUAUAAAUGUAUCCCAGUCUGGACAACAUUCAUCCAGCCCACAAUACAAGGUAAUCCGUGUGGCCUUGCCACAAAAUGUUGUACUGGAAAAGUCAUCUCAAGAUAAAAUUCCAGACAUUUCAUCACCGAGGUCAGAUGAAGAUGUGGACAGUGCUUCGCUUUCCAAAAAUGCACUUUUGGCAAGAGAGAACCGGCUAAAGAAGAAACGUUACAUCAAUGGUCUUGAAGAGAAACCUUGCAGGCGCCAAAAAAGAAAACCAGUUCCUAAUGGACAAGUUGAAGGAAAAGGAUGCAACAAUCGACCAACUGCAAAAAGAAAUCUUGUACUUCAAAAGCAUUCUUGCUAAUGUUCAGGAGAUAUCUGGUCUUAUCAAAACAAUCAAACAGGAAUCACACAUUCCAAUGUCUACAUCAUUAAGACCAACAGUUUAUCCUAUGAAGAGAAAAUCUGUAGUAGAUUUGCCUAUCAUUCACGACAAGAAGAUGAAGAUGGAAAGAACGAGUGAAAGCUCAAGUUGCAUGAGCGCCAUCCAUGAUGAUGACGACAGUUACGACUGGAUGCCGAGUUCGCCGUCAUGCCCUACGCAACUUGAUGCCGAAUCACUAGACGUCCUGUCCAAUUUCAGUGAAGAAGAUAUAAAUUUAUUUGGUGAUGACACGCUUCUACCCGAGCCCACGAGCCAAACAGCACCUCUUCCUGCUGGAAUAUGUCUACAUGUGUUCAACAAGCAAAUGUCACUCGAGUUUUGUGUCGCCUGUGCGACGAGAGCCCAGGAGAAAUGGUCUUCACAAGUUUAAAAACCUGGAAAAAUGACUUGCAAGCAUUCUUUAAAUUGUUAUUGUACAUUGACGGAGCUUAUCACCCCCUAUAUGAUCAUCUGCAGAGGGUUCUUGCAACAUUUGGUUUGGUUAAAUAUGUAUCACUGACGGUCUGUUUUUACUCCGCUCCCACCCGGGGUGGCUUUUGUGAAAUUCGAAAAAUCAUUAAUGGUGUGCAGUGUUUUGUUUCGUUACAGGUUGCGGAGCUAUUGAGGAAAAGCGGAAGUCUGCCCAAUCAGUCUGGUUUUUGUAAAUAAGUUUUUCUCAAUAAUUUUCUAGAUAGAAGACUGGCAUGGUCGUGAUUUAUGUAUCAUUUACUUUUCUUACACGGAAUAUAAAUCUUUGUCAAACCGUAA